rnacentral:sRNA from 1 species
CUUGAGCAGCCUGUAUGUGUCAAAUAUGUGGUCUUAUCCAGUGAAUUCCUUGAGCAGCCUGCAUGUCAAAUAUGUGGUGUUAUCCAGGGUAUUCCUUGUGUAGUUUAUGUGUCAAAUAUGUGGUGUUAUCCAGGGUAUUCCUUGUGUAGCUUAUGUGUCAAAUAUGUGGUGUUAUCCAGGGAAUUCCUUGUGUAGCUAAUGUGUCAAAUAUGUGGUGUUAUCCAGGGUAUUCCUUGUGUAGCUUAUGUGUCAAAUAUGUGGUGUUAUCCAGGGUAUACCUUGUGUAGCUUAUGUGUCAAAUAUGUGGUGUUAUCCAGGGUAUUCCUUGUGUAGCUUAUGUGUCAAAUAUGUGGUGCUAUCCAGUGAAUUUCUUGUGCAACAUGAGUGUGUCAAAUAUUUAGUGUUAUCCAAGGACAGCCUGUAUUUGUCGAACAUGUGGUGUUAUCCAGUGAAUUCCUUGAGCAGCCUGUAUGUGUCAAAUAUGUGGUGUUAUCCAGUGAAUUCCUUGAGCAGCCUGUAUGUGUCAAAUAUGUGGUCUUAUCCAGUGAAGUCCUUGAGCAGACUGUGUGUGUCAAACAUGUGGUGUUAUCCAGUGAAUUCCUUGAGCAGCCUGUAUGUGUCAAAUAUGUGGUGUUAUCCAGUGAAGUCCUUGAGCAGACUGUGUGUGUCAAACAUGUGGUCUUAUCCAGUGAAGUCCUUGAGCAGACUGUGUGUGUCAAAUAUGUGGUGUUAUCCAGUGAAGUCCUUGGGCAGACUGUGUGUGUCAAAUAUGUGGUGUUAUCCAGUGAAGUCCUUGAGCAGACUGUGUGUGUCAAACAUGUGGUGUUAUCCAGUGAAUUCCUUGAGCAGCCUGUGUGUGUCAAAUAUGUGGUGUUAUCCAGGGAAUUCCUUGAGCAGCCUGUAUGUGUCAAAUAUGUGGUCUUAUCCAGU